UACAGAGGUCCCGAGCGUUGUUCGGAUUCACUGGGCGUAAAGGGUGCGUAGGUGGUGAGGUAAGUCGGAUGUGAAAUCUCCGAGCUCAACUCGGAAAUGGCAUUGGAAACUACCUUGCUUGAGGGUUGGAGGGGGGACUGGAAUACUUGGUGUAGCGGUGAAAUGCGUAGAUAUCAAGUGGAACACCAGUGGCGAAGGCGAGUCCCUGGACAACUCCUGACACUGAGGCACGAAAGCUAGGGGAGCAAACAGG
rnacentral:rRNA from 1 species